UACGUAGGGUGCGAGCGUUAAUCGGAAUUAUUGGGCGUAAAGCGUGCGCAGGCGGUUUUAUAAGACAGAUGUGAAAUCCCCGGGCUUAACCUGGGAACUGCGUUUGUGACUGUAAGACUGGAGUGUGGCAGAGGGGGGUGGAAUUCCACGUGUAGCAGUGAAAUGCGUAGAUAUGUGGAGGAACAUCGAUGGCGAAGGCAAUCCCCUGGGCCUGCACUGACGCUCAUGCACGAAAGCGUGGGGCGCAAACAGG
rnacentral:rRNA from 1 species